GCUGGGUGUGGUGGCAUACACUUGUAAUCCCAACAGCUCAGGAGGCUGAGGCAGGAGGAUUACAGGUUCAAAGCCAGCCUCAGUAACUUAGCAAGGCUGUAAGCAACCUAAUGAGAGCCUGUCUCAA
rnacentral:sRNA from 1 species